GAUGAACGCUGGCGGCGUGCCUAAUACAUGCAAGUCGAGCGAACAGACGAGGAGCUUGCUCCUCUGACGUUAGCGGCGGACGGGUGAGUAACACGUGGAUAACCUACCUAUAAGACUGGGAUAACUUCGGGAAACCGGAGCUAAUACCGGAUAAUAUAUUGAACCGCAUGGUUCAAUAGUGAAAGACGGUUUUGCUGUCACUUAUAGAUGGAUCCGCGCCGCAUUAGCUAGUUGGUAAGGUAAAGGCUUACCAAGGCGACGAUGCGUAGCCGACCUGAGGGGGUGAUCGGCCACACGGGAGCUGAGACACGGUCCAGACUCCUACGGGAGGCAGCAGUAGGGAAUCUUCCGCAAUGGGCGAAAGCCUGACGGAGCAACGCCGCGUGAGUGAUGAAGGUCUUCGGAUCGUAAAACUCUGUUAUUAGGGAAGAACAAAUGUGUAAGUAACUAUGCACGGCUUGACGGUACCUAAUCAGAAAGCCACGGCUAACUACGUG
rnacentral:rRNA from 1 species